rnacentral:tRNA from 1 species
GUCCGGUUCUUCCAACAGCAGGAUGCCUCGCUCACAUCGAGGCGAUGGGGGUGCAACUCCCUCACUGGACACCA